ensembl:lncRNA
CCGUCUGCUUCAUGCCCUCUGGCAUGCAGGCUCUGGCCUGCUCAUAGAGGUGAUGACCCCUAAUGGACGCUAAAAUCCUCUCCUCUCUGUCUCUGUCUGUCCGGAAGGUCUGAGACAUGUACCUAUACACAUAUAAACACACAAUUACACAGAAAAUGACCAACAAUACUACUAUAUACUAUACUACUAUAACUAAGAUACAUAGAGGACCACUAUUGUUCUGUAUAUCAUUUUGUCACUGAAUAGGAUGUUUUAUCACAAAUGAACAGAUUAACCAAUGGUACCUCUACAUUUUAUGUAUGAAUGCUACUUUAUCACCAGAUGCAGGAGUAACAGUGUGUAACAGUACAAAAAAUUGUUUUUCUUUGAAUUGUCGGUACAGUCGGGGGGUCACAGUAAUACUUUGCCAUGUGUAGUAAACAGAGGUUGUUGUAGUCGUCUGAUGUCAUGUGGUUUUCCUGAAGAAUGGAGAUAACUUCUUGCUUCCCUGCUUCCCCCUGCCGAUGGUAGCGGAGGUAGCGCUUCUUCCAUUGACAAAACUGUGUAAUAGAUCACAGAUUAAAAGGCCAAAGAUGUAAACUAAAAUUAAAGGAGGAGUGGAUGUAUUUCCUUUUGAGUGUGUGUGACUGUUUGUGGGGUCAGUUAACAUGUGUCAGUCAGUGUUCCUACUCAUACCCCAUCAUCAGAUUGGGCAUCGAUACCUCCAUACCGAGUUGGAGGACUUUGAGGUGGAGGUGGAUAUGCGGGCAUUCCUUCUUAACACAUAUAACAGAGAUAUAAAUAUAUAUAUAUAAACACAUACAUACAUUUAUUAAACCACCUGAUAACAUCAUCCAUCUGAAUCUCUCUGAUGAACGUUUUUUGGCCUUCCUAAAUGUUUUUCUAGUUCUAGUAAUUAUAGUAAUUCAGGGCCUGACACAAUCCUACUGUAUUGAUCAGACGUAGCAUACUGUCACUGAAAUCACUAUGAGGCUAUAGUAUCGGUUUCAGAGAAUCGAAACUCGGAGCAAGCACAAUGGCGACAAAAAAAUUCAGGUCAGCUGACCACCAAAAUGCAAAUUACUUACGGGCUGUUCCAACUGAGGCUCUACGUCUCUUCUUUUUCCGAGUUGUGUCCGGAGGACUAGGGCUUCGAUUUCCUCGUGAUCUCUUGCGAUUUUCGGACAUUCCUUCUAAACACCUUAUCUUUCCAAAGCCAAGUCAACGAUUCGGUAGCCUACGUAGUCGGUUGAAGUUUUUUUCUAAAUUCUGGUCCGUAAGCCCGCCGCUACCGCAUAACCUCAAAAAUCAAAGAUCGACACAGUAGUAUCGUCUUUGUCAGACGUGAUACGGUUACUGACAUCACUGGGGCUGUAGUUUCGGUUUCAGAGAAUCGAAAUUUAGAGCGG